rnacentral:rRNA from 1 species
GACGAACGCUGGCGGCGUGCUUAACACAUGCAAGUCGAACGGAAAGGCCCUGCUUGCAGGGUACUCGAGUGGCGAACGGGUGAGUAACACGUGGGUGAUCUGCCCUUCACUUCGGGAUAAGCCUGGGAAGCUGGGUCUAAUACCGGAUAGGAGCCAUUUUUAGUGUGAUGGUUGGAAAGUUUUUUCGGUGUAGGAUGAGCUCGCGGCCUAUCAGCUUGUUGGUGGGGUAAUGGCCUACCAAGGCGGCGACGGGUAGCCGGCCUGAGAGGGUGGACGGCCACAUUGGGACUGAGAUACGGCCCAGACUCCUACGGGAGGCAGCAGUGGGGAAUAUUGCACAAUGGGCGCAAGCCUGAUGCAGCGACGCCGCGUGGGGGAUGACGGCCUUCGGGUUGUAAACUCCUUUCGCUAGGGACGAAGCUUUUUGUGACGGUACCUAGAUAAGAAGCACCGGCUAACUACGUG